rnacentral:rRNA from 1 species
CAAUAGCGUAUAUUAAAGUUGUUGCAGUUAAAAAGCUCGUAGUUGGAUUUGUGGCGUACGGUGGGUUCCGGGCACUUGUUGUCUGAGUAACUUGCUGUUGCCAUCCUUGGGUGGAACCUGUGUGGCAUUAGGUUGUCGUGCAGGGGAUGCCCAUCAUUUACUGUGAAAAAAUUAGAGUGUUCAAAGCAGGCUUGUGCCGUUGAAUAUAUUAGCAUGGAAUAAUGAGAUAGGACUUUUUUGCUAUUUUGUUGGUUUGCGCAAAGAGGUAAUGAUUAAUAGGGACAGUUGGGGGUAUUCGUAUUCCAUUGUCAGAGGUGAAAUUCUUGGAUUUUUGGAAGACAAACUACUGCGAAAGCAUUUACCAAGGAUGUUUUCAUUAA